rnacentral:rRNA from 1 species
AGAACGAACGCUGGCGGCAUGCCUAACACAUGCAAGUCGAACGAGACCUUCGGGUCUAGUGGCGCACGGGUGCGUAACGCGUGGGAAUCUGCCCUUAGGUACGGAAUAACAGUGAGAAAUUACUGCUAAUACCGUAUGAUGUCUUCGGACCAAAGAUUUAUCGCCUAGGGAUGAGCCCGCGUUGGAUUAGCUAGUUGGUGGGGUAAAGGCCUACCAAGGCGACGAUCCAUAGCUGGUCUGAGAGGAUGAUCAGCCACACUGGGACUGAGACACGGCCCAGACUCCUACGGGAGGCAGCAGUGGGGAAUAUUGGACAAUGGGCGAAAGCCUGAUCCAGCAAUGCCGCGUGAGUGAAGAAGGCCUUGGUUGUAAAGCUCUUUUACCCGGGAAGAUAAUGACUGUACCGGGAGAAUAAGCCCGGCUAACUCCGUGCCAGCAGCCGC